GUGGGGAAUAUUGGACAAUGGGGGGAACCCUGAUCCAGCCAUGCCGCGUGUGUGAAGAAGGCCUUUUGGUUGUAAAGCACUUUAAGCGAGGAGGAGGCUACCGAGAUUAAUACUCUUGGAUAGUGGACGUUACUCGCAGAAUAAGCACCGGCUAACUCUGUGCCAGCAGCCGCGGUAAUACAGAGGGUGCAAGCGUUAAUUGGAUUUACUGGGCGUAAAGCGCGCGUAGGUGGCCAAUUAAGUCAAAUGUGAAAUCCCCGAGCUUAACUUGGGAAUUGCAUUCGAUACUGGUUGGCUAGAGUAUGGGAGAGGAUGGUAGAAUUCCAGGUGUAGCGGUGAAAUGCGUAGAGAUCUGGAGGAAUACCGAUGGCGAAGGCAGCCAUCUGGCCUAAUACUGACACUGAGGUGCGAAAGCAUGGGGAGCAAACAGGAUUAGAUACCCUAGUAGUCC
rnacentral:rRNA from 1 species